AGAAGACAUCUCAGUUUCCAGGACCAGUUCAGGAUGUAAAAGUGGUCUCCUUCUGUCACCCAGGCUGGAGUGCAGUGGCACAAUCACAGCUCACUGCAGCCUUGACCUCCUGGGCUCAAGAGAUCCUCCCACCUCAGCCUCUCUAGUAGCUGGGACUACAGCAAGGUUUCUCUGCCCAGACAUGCAGGAUUUCUUCAGCAAAGCAAAAGCCCUGCAGAUUACCAGAUCCAUCCUCUCCUAAAGCCAGAGGGACCAUGAGACAUUAGUACCUGAGCAUCACCUCUCUCCAAGUGAUUUAUCAAAGCUUUAUUUCCAAUCACAUACUGAGUUUUGAUAAAACAGUUUUAUUCUUUG
rnacentral:lncRNA from 10 species